GACGAACGCUGGCGGCGUGCUUAAUACAUGCAAGUCAACUGAACUUGAGGUAGCAAUAUUUCAAGGGAGGUGGCGCACGGGUGAGUAACACGUAGGUAAUCUGCCUUUAGGUCUGACACAACCCCGAGAAAUCGGGGCUAAUAUCAGAUGAUGCAGCGGCUCGACAUCGAGACAGUUGUUAAACCUUCGGGGCCUAAAGAUGAGCCUGCGUCUGAUUAGGUAGUGGCGGAGUAAAGCCCACCAAGCCUGCGAUCAGUAGCUGGUCUGAGAGGAUGAUCAGCCACACUGGAACUGAGACACGGUCCAGACUCCUACGGGAGGCAGCAGUAAGGAAUAUUGCUCAAUGGCCGAAAGGCUGAAGCAGCAACGCCGCGUGGA
rnacentral:rRNA from 1 species